AAACCAGCACCUCAAGUGGUCAGAAUGAUUAUUGGGCCUAAAGCAUCCGUAGCCGGCUCUGUAAGUUUUCGGUUAAAUCUGUACGCUCAACGUACAGGCUGCUGGGAAUACUGCAGAGCUAGGGAGUGGGAGAGGUAGACGGUACUCGGGAGGAAGUGGUAAAAUGCUUUGAUCUCUCGAUGACCACCUGUGGCGAAGGCGGUCUACCAGAACACGUCCGACGGUGAGGGAUGAAAGCUGGGGGAGCAAACCGGAUUAGAAACCCCGGUAGUCC
rnacentral:rRNA from 1 species